rnacentral:rRNA from 1 species
GUGGAUUAGAUAUCCUGGUAGUCCACGCGGUAAACGAUGAGUGCUAGGUGUAGGAGGUAUCGACCCCUUCUGUGCCGCAGUAAACACAAUAAGCACUCCGCCUGGGGAGUACGGCCGCAAGGUUGAAACUCAAAGGAAUUGACGGGGGCCCGCACAAGCAGCGGAGCAUGUGGUUUAAUUCGAAGCAACGCGAAGAACCUUACCAGGUCUUGACAUCCAGUAAAACUUGUAGAGAUACAUCGUGACUUCGGUCAUACUGAGACAGGUGGUGCACGGCCGUCGCCAACU